AUUGAACGCUGGCGGCAGGCUUAACACAUGCAAGUCGAGCGAGCGGCGGACGGGUGAGUAAUGUCUGGGCAACUGCCUGAUGGGGGGGGAUCACUACUGGAAACGGUAGCUAAUACCCCCUACCAUCAGCUGUGCCCAGAUGGGAUUAGCUAGUAGGUGGGGUAAUGGCUCACCUAGGCGACGAUCCCUAGCUGGUCUGAGAGGAGGAACGGCCACUCUGGAACUGGGCCACGGUCCAGAGUCCUACGGGAGGCAGCAGUGGGGAAUAUUGCACAAUGGGCGCAAGCCUGAUGCAGCCCUGCCGCUGGUGUGAAGAAGGCCUUCGGGUUGUAAAGCACUUUCAGCGAGUAGGCGUUACUCGCAGAAGAAGCACCGGCUAACUCCGUGCCAGCAGCCGCGGUAAUUC
rnacentral:rRNA from 1 species